UUAAAACGGAAGUGACGCACGCCAGCCGGUGGCGGGAACUGAACGUCUCAUUUGCUGUGUUCGUUACUUACCGCGCUGUAAUUAUCGAAAGACAAAGAAUUUACACCUUAUAUAUUUUAGAAAAUAAACAAUCGUGACACUGAUGUAAUGUUGUGUUAUAUACAGAUCAGAUUUUGAUAGUCUGUGAAGCUGUCUAGAGGGAUUUAUUAUCGGACAUAAUUAAGUGCACGAGCAUCACCGGCGGCUAUCAGUCCACGCGAGACAGAAGAUUCUCAUAACGGGUCGUAUUUAAAAAUAUUCAUAUCAACAUGAGCUUCUUCAACCUGGACCGGUUCCGUUUCCAAAAAGACAGAGGGGUUGACAGUCGUAAAUCUGUGGAUGAGUCCAGGUCGGAUAAAGAGAAUCUCCGGGCCCACCAAAGGAAGAUAGAUGUACGAUGUGCUCCAGGAAAGACAUCGAGACAAGCACUGGAGGAUGUUUUUGCUGAUGACAAGGUUGUCAGGAUGGGCAAGGAUACUCCAUCAAAGUCAGUACUAGAGACUAAGCACCAGAUAAACAAAGAAAUCGAAGACAGAGUGACCAAACUAAUGGAGAUGUUUCCUCAGAAGAGCAAGAAAGAUCUGCUGGAGGUGGUUGAGAGUACUAGCACACUGGAGGGAGCUGUAGCACAAUGUUUGAUAGUAUAUGGGGAUAAAGAGGAUGAUUCAGGCAGAUGGAAAGGGAAGGCAAGUCAUAGUGAAGAUGAUGAUACUCAACCAAUGAAGAGGAGAAAAAUUGUGCGCUCUGAUUCGGAGGAGGAAGAAGAUUCUGAGGAUGAGGAGAGCCAGGAGCCAAACAGAGAGAGGCAGGAGGCUCUGUUGAGGAAGCUGAAGAAGAAACUGCCUGAUUUAGAAAAGGAGGUCCUAAGGGAUGUUCUUAGAGAGCACGACUGGGACUUUGAAAAUGCUUUGGGAUCACUGCUUGUGUUUUCAUCAUCAGAUGUCAGUUCCCCAGAAGAACAGAGACAACAAAAGCCAAAAUUAUCUCACUCCAAGGAAAAUACUGGCAAGCGCUUGCCGAAGCCUGAAAGUCUGUCAACAUGGCUGACAGCAGCCCAAUCAUCAGUGCGAAAAGUCUCUGGUCUGUCUACUCCCAAGAUGCAGAAAUCAGCCAGCAGCAAAAAUACUACCACAAAUUCAUUGUUUAAAUGGAAGAGGGGAGAUAAAAAGCCAUUAGAUGAUGUCAGUGGCUCUGAGGAUGAAGAGGAGCUUGACAGUGAUGUUGAGAGUGUCUCGGAUGAUUUGGAAUCAGAGGAUGAGGACAGCACCUCUGGUCAUCUCCAAGACCAGAUCAUUUCUUUCCUCCAGGAGGCUUCCCUAGAUGAACUUGCUCUGAUAUCUGGCUGCUCAAUCAAAAAAGCCCAGAAGAUCAUUUCCCUGAGGCCCUUCAACACUUGGAAGGAUGUGAAAGAGCAGUUCUAUAAGGACAAUGGCCUGUCUAUAGACCUGGUACAUGGCUGCAAGGUGGUGCUUAAGGAGAGACAGGUGGUUAGACACCUCAUGGGCAGAUGUGAGAAGAUUGCACAGAAAAUGACUAAAGAUGUCACCCAGGUCAUAGAAUUAGGCAUGGGGUCUAUGAAGCAACCCAAAGUCCUGAACAGCAAUUUUAAAUUACAGCCAUAUCAGCUGAUUGGCUUGAAGUGGCUGAUACUGCUGCACCAGCAUAAGCUCAGUGGGAUACUUGCAGAUGAAAUGGGGCUAGGAAAAACAAUUCAGGCCAUCUCUUUUCUGGCUCAUUUGUAUGAAAAAGGCAUCAUGGGCCCUCAUCUCAUUACUGUGCCCUCAUCCACACUGGAUAACUGGGUACGAGAGCUGGGUCUGUGGUGCCCGAGUCUUAAAGUCCUUGUUUACUACGGCUCUGUGGAGGACCGGAAAUACUUGCGCCAAGAAAUUCUCAGCAACCUAGUCGAUUUUAACGUUAUUGUAUCCACUUACAAUCUCACAAUAGGGAAUGACAAUGACCGGAGUCUUUUCCAUAAGCUGAGGCUGAAGUAUGCAGUAUUUGAUGAGGGUCACAUGCUGAAAAAUAUGAACUCCCUACGCUACCGCCGCCUUAUGGCCGUCAAUGCUGAGCACAGAUUGCUGCUGACAGGAACACCUUUACAAAACAACUUGCUGGAGCUCAUGUCCCUGCUGAACUUCAUCAUGCCCUCCAUGUUCUCCAGCAGCACCUCACAGAUCUCCAAGAUGUUCUCCACGAGGUCAUCAGAGGAAGAAAGCAGUUUUCAUAAGGAGAGAAUCACACAGGCUAAACUUAUUAUGAAGCCAUUCAUCCUGAGACGAGUCAAGAGUGAGGUGUUGAAACAACUUCCACCAAAAGUAGAGAAGAUUGAAAUGUGUCCCAUGAGUGAUGCUCAGCAGAAGCUCUAUGACAACCUUUUCAAUAGGCUCAAGAAGACUACGAAUGGAGAUAAGCGGGAGCUUUGCAAUGUGAUGAUGCAGCUGAGAAAGAUGGCUAAUCAUCCAUUGCUACACCGCCAGUACUACACCAGUGACAAAUUGGCUGCCAUGAGUAAGGCCAUGCUUAAGGAGCCAACCCAUUUUGAUGCAGACCAUGUGCUGAUCCAAGAGGACAUGGAGGUGAUGUCUGACUUUGAGCUGCAUAAUUUAUGCAAGCAGUACAGCUCCAUCAGCAGCUUUCAGCUGGAGAAGGAGCUCAUCUUAGACUCUGGAAAGUUUGCACUUCUAACUAAGCUUCUCACCAAGCUCAAAGAAAAGCUCUGUGGACUUUAAACCAUGUGAAUCCCUCUUCAGUUUGUGAAGCUUCUCCUCUGUGUGAUAUCACCUGUACCAUUGAUCUCAUUGUGUAAAUCCUGUGAAUCUCAGUAAACGCUCUCGCACUUGGUUUCACUAAAUACAACUUGUGUGGCUUGAAUUCCUGACAGUCAUAUAGCCUAUAUAUUUCUGCUAAAGAAAAAGCACAAGUAGAUAACGCAGCGGAAUUGCUCCGAAAUAAAGGAUGGAUAUUUACUGCAGUAAUGUGUUUUUUAUUAUUUGGAAAUUAUUUUUUUGUUUUUAUUAUUAUUAUUGUUUUGAAAUAGUUUUGGACUGUUUUAGUUUGUGAACGGUGCUUGGUCUGUGCUAGUUUCUCUUGUAAACAAUGACACGCUUCCUGCCUCCUCCUCCACGUGAUGUUUGACCUUACCAAUGAGCUUGCGUCAUCCCUCUCAUGAGCGCGCAUCACAGGUGUACGGAAGCGAACAUUUGUAGUUAAAAGGUAUAUAAGUAUUGUUUUGUUUCUAAAAAUAAUCAAUCGUUUGGGUUCAGAAGAACUUUAUUUGUCGACUGGAGUCGUGUGGGUUAUUUUGAUGCACCCUAAAUAUGCAUUUUGGACCGUCAAAAAAUGGAGGACAUUCACUUGCAUUGUUUAGAGGAGGCGGCCUGAAAUGAAAUCCUAAAACUCUUAAACUCUGUUUUGAUGAAGAAAGAAACUCCGAUACAUCUUGGAUGGCAUGAGGUGAGUAAAUUAUCAGCAAAUUUUCAUUUUUGGGUGAACUAUUCCUUUAAAUAUGAAAAAUUACUUUAUAAGGUAUAUGAGGCACACAUGCAACACAAGAAAUUAAAAUGUAUAUUACAAUUAAUCGUUAUAACCCUAAAACUGACAAUUAAUCAUCGUAAUCUUAAUUAUUUGUUUGACAAUUAAUCGUAAGCCUAAUUUCAUAAUCGUGACGGCCCUAAUGGUGAUUUAUUAUGAAAUUCAACUCAUUGUUCAUUUAUACUCAUGCACUGACAUAAGUGUGUCAUGUUUUGUUAAUUUUAAUAUUAUUAAAAUAGUUAUUUGUUUUUUCACUAAGGGUGAUAGGGUUGUACUGUUCAGUCAGUUUACCAUGAUGCUGGACAUUGUGGAGAUUCUGCUGAACAAUCUUCAUCAUCAGUUUGUUCGACUGGAUGGCUCUACUCCCAUGGCAGAGAGGAUUGGUCUCAUUGAUCAGUUCAACACAAA